rnacentral:rRNA from 1 species
UACAGAGGUCUCGAGCGUUAGGCGGAAUCACUGGGCUUAAAGCGUGUGUAGGUGGAUGCCUAAGUACCUUGUGAAAUCCCACGGCUUAACCGUGGAACUGCUGGGUAUACUGGCGGUCUUGGGCCAUCUAGGGGUUGCCGGAACAAGCGGUGGAGCGGUGAAAUGCGUAGAUAUCGCUUGGAACGCCAAAGGUGAAGACAGGCAACUGGAGAUGCGCC